GAGAGAGAGCCACGAGCAGUUUUUUUUAUUCCCACGCAACUUCCUCUCUUUCCCAUCCCGACCGGCUAGGGUUCCGCCGGCGCCAUCCCUUCUCGUCCAGCGCUGGCCAACAGAGAAGGCGGGCGCGCGGAGGGGAUUCAACCUCGACCACGUCUGCGGCAACGGCGAGGGCCUCCGCUCGCAGGUCUCCGUCUCGCUGCUCGUCCGGGAGGCUGCGCGGAGGGGAUUCGCUGUGAGCGAGGUGCCGUGGAUCGGCAAGCGAGCGCUCGGGACGAGGACCUUUUCUUCUCCGGCCUCUUGGCAGUUGAGAUCCUCUGUCUUCUCGCCGUGGCUAGGGUUGCCGCCGUCGCCGCCCUCCCCAUCCUGACUCCUCUAGCGCCGGCCUCGACCCGCUUGGCGAUAAGGCACUGGUACUUCAGCUCCUAUGUCAUCCAUGAUUGACAGUGAUCAGAUGCCAACAAUGCAUGGGAGUGGAUGUCAUCACCCAGUGACGUGUCUCUUUGCCGAUUAUGGUUGGACCCUUUGCUGUUCGCGGAACCCAUAAUUCAUCCCAUAGUUCUUCCUCAACAUUGGUUGGGGGCGGGAUGGACCUACACAUCCGUCAAGCAUCAGGCAAACCUCCUGGGCGAGGCUUCCUUGUACAACAGAAAGCACAUCUGUGUGCCCUCCAGAUUCUCUUGUAGCACCUCCUGCUGCUUGCCCUUGCACGGUAGCAAGCCUAGCAGGUAGCAUCAACACAGGAAGGUGAGGUUGCCAGCGGCCGGUGGGUGGCUGCUCCAGCAAGAAACUAGCAGAGCCUAUCAUGUGGCAACAUGACUUAAGGGUAUAUGGCUUUGCUUGAGAAGCCCACACAGAGCCAACAGUCGAGUCUGGGAUAUUCAAAGCACUUGAAAGAGCAAACUACUCGAUAGAAGUAGGAAAGAUUAAUGAUAUUCUGGGUGUGGAAGAACCAACAAUGGAGUUUCUGCUACUGGACAGAUGCAUUAGAUAAUUGUACUGCCAUGUGUUUUUGGCUCCCAUGUAUCCUCCAAUUCAUCAGGUAUGCCUUCUUGCUGAACUAAUUAAUCACAUUUAACUAUAGCAUCUCAGUUGCAUCAUACUAGCUUUAUUCUAUGAUUUUGGCUUUCUAUGUGUAUGCCGAAAUAUGUGAUCAGAUAAGAAUAUCCAGUUGCAAAAGAAUAUGAAAUUGCCAAUUUACUUUCAAGGGUAGGCGGAGCUAAAAUAGUUUUGGUUGGCGACGUUUUUCUGUGAAUCCCUUUCACCCUAAUAGGUGACAUCCCUUCCUUUUUGUUAUCCACCCCAUGCAUCAGGCCUACCUCUGACUAGCUCCCUGCAAACAUUUUGGGCAUUUGAUAGCAAACUGGCGAAGUGGUUUUGUAUAACUAUAAUAAAUGGGGUUGAACUGGUUUUGAUAUUGUUUCUGGUACUAACCAGUAGGCUGUUACAAUUUUGUCCUUGUUCCCUCAUUUAAAGACUCAUUUUUGUCUUAUUUAGCAAGCAUCCUCUGGAAGUCGGCCAUGGUUUUGGUUCCCUACUCCUGACAGUAGUUGGGGUAGUGGCGGUUCGAAGGAUGAACUUCCAUGGAAGAUCGAAGCUUUAGUCCUUGACUCAGCUCGUGCACACCCUGGGGCUCUACGGUCAUUCGAAGUCCAUCAUGAUGAUUGCACACUUUUUACUGGGGGAGUUGGACAUGGUUUUAAAGGGUGUAUACAUCAUUGGGAGUUGUCCAACGUGUCAGUUUGUCUCACUACCUGCACAUGACUUUCUUUUUUUGCAAUUAUUGUUGGAUGGUUUUUGAAUUAAAUGUAGUUUGUACAGAUCUUGUACUGGUGUUUGGCUUAGUGUAUGAAAUACUAAUAUAGGAUUAAUGGUUUAUGAAUUAUUAUAUGAUAGAUAGUGAUGGUAAAUUAUUUGAAGAUUGUUCUGUGUAGAUCAGAGUUAAACAUGUUUAUAACGAAGCCUUUUCUUGGAAUGAAAUUAAAUUUAUGACUUCAAAAGUACACCUCUAUAUCAAAAUAUAAGAUGUUUUUGCAGUUCAAAUUGAACUAAAAAAACGUCUUACAUUUUGGCAUAGAGGUAGUAAGAAUUUAGCAUUUGCUUGAUUGUCUAAUUUGAGAGCCUUCAUGUUCUCGGAUGUCUUUGUUUUCAACUCUUUGUUGAUGUCACCAUGAAGCUUGAAUAUUUUCCAUUCCUUGAUAAAUACAUUGCUCUACAGAAUUGGUUGAUUAAAGAAUUAACUCUUCUUCAUAGUAGUAUUUUCCUCAAAUUAUGAAACCUCCAACAACGUAGAGAGAUAACCAUUUUGUUAGUUUUUCAAUCAAAGCUUCCAUCAAAUAAUUUAUUACAAUUGUCCUCCAGCUUAUUCAGAAACUGCAUGAUUUGAAUGACGGAUCAGAUGAGGCCGCUGGCCAUGGCGCAUAGGCCUGCUUACGGCGGGACAUGAAUUAGCUGAUGGCGACGCGUGCAGGCAGAGCUCGCCACCUUGAACCCAACACGAGGCGAAGCUGGAAGCCGGCAUCACAGGCGCGCACGCGUCCAUGCCACGCUCCCCGAUGGCGGGUGGCACACCAAGCCGUCGUCUCCGUCCACCAUGAAGUGCCCCACCCUGUUAAGUAAAGGUGGAGAAUCCUCUUUGAAGUGUAUGGUGUUCCCUAUGUAGAAUUUUUGUUGAGCAAACAAUGUUGAGUGACUUUUUGAAUCAAGUAUGAUCUGGAUUGCACAGGAUACCGCCUGCUCUUUGUUGAAUGACUUUUUGAAUGAAGUGUGAUCUGGAUUGCAUGUA